rnacentral:lncRNA from 1 species
UGAUAUAUAAUUGUUUCACUGAGCGUGGUUCAAGAAUAGCCUAAAACAACAAAUCCGAAAAAUAGUUCUUCCAAAACAAGUUUUAACCGAAACUCAAGUCCUUGGUAACUUGUAGCUCUCAUCAAGGUUUAAGAGCAAGCGAGAGACCAAACCUCGGGUACUUCUCCAACGUCUUGGUAUCAAUCUCCCCAGAGAUCGUCACAAUCGAUUUCACACUCGUCAAGUGAUCAACCGCAUACAAUCCACCAACAGUAAUAACGUUCUCGUUCGUCGAGAACUUCCUGUAAACCUCUCCCACCGCAGCGCUCCUCUUGGACUCAUCUAGGUGUUGGAGAUAAGAGGCUUUGAUCGAAUCUGCUUUAUCUCCACUGUAAGCAACCAAAAGAGUAGUUUCAGAUUAAUCAAAGGAGCCUCUUUAUAUGAUCAUCUUACAGUAUAACGGAGGCGCAUUUAUCAGGCUUUGUGACACUGAUUCCGAAGUUGUACUUAGUGAAAGACCGAGAGGUGGUGUCGUAACCAGCUUCGGCACCGAAUGAGAUAGUUGGGGAGCCAAGAGUAGCUGUUAGAUCGACCAGAGGGUUUUGUUUCAAAGCUGCGGUGGCUG